CUAACAAGGAUUCCCCUAGUAACUGCGAGUGAAGCGGGAAAAGCUCAAAUUUAAAAUCUGGCGGCCUUGGUCGUCCGAGUUGUAUUCUAGAGAAGUGUUUUCCGCGUUGGACCGUGUACAAGUCUCUUGGAACAGAGCGUCAUAGAGGGUGAGAAUCCCGUCUUUGACACGGACUACCAAUGCUUUGUGAUGCGCUCUCAAAGAGUCGAGUUGUUUGGGAAUGCAGCUCAAAAUGGGUGGUAAAUUCCAUCUAAAGCUAAAUAUUGGCGAGAGACCGAUAGCGAACAAGUACCGUGAGGGAAAGAUGAAAAGCACUUUGGAAAGAGAGUUAAACAGUACGUGAAAUUGCUGAAAGGGAAACGCUUGAAGUCAGUCGCGUCGUCUAGAACUCAGCCAGGUUUACUUGGUGCAUUUUCUAGUUGACGGGCCAGCAUCAGUUUUGACUGCAGGAAAAAGGCCGGAGAAAUGUGGCAUCUUCGGAUGUGUUAUAGUCUCUGGUUGCAUACUGUGGUUGGGAUUGAGGCUCUCAGCACGCUUUUGUUGUGCUUAGGAUGCUGGCGUAAUGGCUUUAAACGACCCGUCUUGAAACACGGACCAAGGAGUCUAACAAAUCUGCGAGUAUUUGGGUGGUAAACCCGAGUGCGCAAUGAAAGUGAAAGUUGGGAUCUCUGUCGCGGAGAGCACCGACGCCCGGACCAGACCUUUUGUGACGGAUCUGCGGUAGAGCAUAUUUGUUGGGACCCGAAAGAUGGUGAACUAUGCCUGAAUAGGUGAAGCCAGAGGAAACUCUGGUGGAGGCUCGUAGCGAUUCUGACGUGCAAAUCGAUCGUCAAAUUUGGGUAUAGGGGCGAAAGACUAAUCGAACCAUCUAGUAGCUGGUUCCUGCCGA
rnacentral:rRNA from 1 species